rnacentral:lncRNA from 1 species
UAGCCGACGACGACGAAACAGCCCUUAGGCGACUGGGCCGAGGAUGAUGAGUUACUGAACAAACAGACAGUGCUAGGCGUUGCUGUGGUGGAAUAAUGUUGUGUGGGGGUUCUGAUCCUUUCCCAGUUUUCGAAUCCCCCACCUCUGCCUGUGCCGAACGGUUAGAUUAGGAGGGACGCGCCGGUGCGAUUGCUGUCUGGCCGAUGAUGAGUGGAAGCAUUUGUGUUUGCUGCUCCUUCGCUAAUUUGGGAUGCAUGGUUGCGCAUGGUACUAUUCGUCAACCACUUUCAGGAUGGUUGAUUACAGAUUGAAAACGAGGGCAUGUUUCUGUGUGCUCCAUUUCUCCAUCAUCCUCGUCAGUAUUCUGCCUUGUAUUCUGGCGUGAGCCGUCAGUAUUCUACUCCUUGUAUUCUUUUGUCAGCCGGCAGCGUAAGGCCCCUCCUAAUGCGUAGGUGCUUAGAUCAGAUUGUGGUGCUUAUUGCAUAAUAAAAAUGAUUCAACGACUCUGCAUAGGCGCUUAUC